GGAAGAGAAGCUACGCGACUCAUUUCAGUCAUCCAGUCAGUGGUCAGUGGCGUCAGCUUCGUUGUGGUGUACGUGUGAGUCUUCUGUGUUUUCUUGGACGCUUAUUUGGGCUUUAGGUGAACCAAGACUACCAAAGCUUGUCCUCUGUGGUCAGCAGCUGUGACACAAGGAGCAGCUGUCUCAGCGGAGAGACGGUGGACGGCGGAUGAAUACUUCGGCUCCCGCGCCUUCUUCCGCAUCAUGUCCGACCCGCCGAUCCUGGUGGUGGGCGGCGUGCGUCAGAGGAGUUGAAAAAUGUAUGGGACACGCUGCUGUGCUCUGCGUGUAGCUGUGAGGUGAGAGAAGACACAGUAUGUUGAGGGAAGGCAGCUGCACUAGUGACAGCAGCAGCAGAGCCCCACCACUGCUGCUGCUCCUCUCCUCUUCCCAGCACAGCAGCACACAGGACACAUUUCCAUCAUCUUUAAAUCCCGGACACUUGUGCCUUGGUGAUAAUCUCACAGCAGCAAACCCUACAUUGCUCAGGUCAACUUCCAGCUAGAAUCAUAAUAUCUGGAGUUAUUUUUCCACAAAGAAGGAUUCAAAAUAUCCCCCCCAAAAAAUAAGAUAUUUUUAGAAAUGAAAAUCCACUCGAAUUUUCUGCCUGAAGCUCUCGUUAAAAUGACUCCCUCUUGAAUCUUGUGUCCGACUCCAGCUGUGUCCAAGAGAAUGGAUCUCCAGUUUGUAGUGAGACUUCCGAGCCGCCCAGACCUGUGAAGGCGAGCAGUCUGUCAGAUAAUGAGAGUAGACAACAUAAGCAACAUAAUGAGAGACAAAGUCACAAUAAUAGAGAUAAAAUGAAGGCACUCAAGUAUUAAUGAGAAAACAAAACAGAAUAAUAAGCAAAGUAAAAUAAUGAGACAAUAAGGCCAGUCAACAAAUAAUAGUGAAUUUACUGUAGGAAGGGUCUGCUGUACUACUUAAUGACCAUUCAAGUCUACUUGUUAAAGAUGUGUUUACACUUUGAAGUGUCAUUUUCUUGUACUAUGAUACAUUUUUUACUAUUUUCUUCCACCUGCCUUAAUUAACAUUGAGUAGAGUCUCACUAAUACAACUUGAAUAUUACUCAGCCGGCAGUCUUUGCCAUGGUGGAGUGUGACACUGAAUCAGUACUGACAUUUUAUCAUUUACAUUUCAUUACUUUGAUUACUCAACAAAAUACUGCAUUGUUUUUUGUAACCUGCUGACUGGUGAAGGGACAACGUGUGCUCCUCAACACUUGGUUCUUGCCACGUGCCGCAGCAGACUGACAGCUUCCAGUGGGCCUGUCUGAGGUAAUGCACCACACAACAUUAGGAAUAGGAACAAUUAUUUCACUAAAACUUUAAUUACCUGCACUAAAAACUUUCAAUGAGUUUAUGUACUUUGUGAAUUUAGGAAUCUGGAACAAUGAUUGCACUUAUUUAACUACCUGCACUAAAGUGUUUGCUUUAGUUAUGGUGUUGACAGUAAGUAUAAAUACUUUAAGGGGCGUGACCUCCGCCGCAUUGCUUCAGCAGCCUUCAAGUCCCGGCAAUGAAACGGUUCGUGUGAGGAAGACUGCUUCUGGUGCUACUGGUGGAAAUUGUUACUAGUGUGUAAGUAUGUGGUAAAUAUCUGUGGAAACCAAAGGAUGUUUUCACUCGUACCAAACGUUAUGGUCAUGGAGAUACCUCUCUUCCUGCACACAAAACAACUACAACCACCUAAUUAUUACACACACACUCCUAUACCAGCCUCGGAGUCCCCAUCUGGUAACGACCCUAAAUGUCUUGACACCCCUCUCAGUUUUUCUUCUUAAACUUCUACAGAUUGAACGCGAAUGUUGCAGAACACUGCCUCUCCUCUAUUAAGCUUCAUCAUCCUUUCCUCACUGAAACCCUGGUGUCUGAGGCAACUGACAGUAGCCCCUUUUCAGUUUCCUCUUACUUUCUCUAUCCAAAGCUGGAUGUUGUGUUUAUGUGCGCAAUGAAAUUAACCUGCUUUCGUGCCCACGCUCUUGAAUCUUUCGGGUUUUCCACCACCUGGCUACGACAACAGAGUCCCUUUCAUACUAAAUUUAUCUGUGUUGUAUACCUUUCACCUAACUCCUCUGACUGUAAGAAAUUCUUUGACUACUUAACUUCCAAAGUGGAGCACAUUCUAACUCUCUUCCCUUUUGCAGGGAUCUCCAUUCUUGGAGACUUCAAUGUUCACCACCAGCUUUGGCUUUCCUCUCCCUUCACUGACCAUCCUGGUGAACUAACCUUUAAAUUUGCUAUCCUCCAUGACCUAGAGCAAUUGGUGCAACACUCUAAUCGUAUUCCUGACCGUCUUAGAGAUAUGCCCAACAUUCUUGACCUUUUCCUGACCUCUAAUCCUUCUGCUUAUUCUGUUACCCUCUCUUCUCUGUUGGGCUCUCCGAUCACAUCUAGUAUCUGUAUCUUGUCCUAUCACUCCAAUCCCUCCUCAGGAUCCCCUAAGCGAAGGUGCCUCUGGCGUGUUGGCUAUGCUAGUUGGGGGAACCUGAGGAGGUAUUUUGCUGAUUUUCCUUGGAAUGACUACUGCGUCCGUGACGGAGACCGCCCUGUGUGCCGAGUGCAUAAGAGGUGAUAGUGUCUGGCAUGGAGGCGUACAUUCCUCACUCUUUUUCUCGACCUAAACCUCCAAAACUUGGUUUAACAUAGCUUGUUCUCGUGCUAUACAUGAGAGAGAUGUGUCCCACCAAAGGUGCUUAAGCCUUCCAUCACCAGAAUCUCAUGCACUUUACAUUUCUGCCCGGAACCAUGCCAAGUCUGUUCUCCAACUAGCCAAAAACUCCUUCAUUAAUAGUGUCAAAACCUUUCAAGAUCUAAGUGCCCCCGUGACUUCUGCCACUUAACCCAAAAAACAUCUAUAAUAACUUUGAUUCUUCUUUCCCUCCUUUAUUUCAACCAGAUGGCACCACUGCUAUCACAUCUAUCUCUAAAGCUGAACUCUUUGCUCAAUCCUUUGCUACAAACUCUACCUUGGACGAUUCAAGGUUUGUUCCUCUCUCUCCUCCACUAGCGUAGACAAGACUGUCAGUAUACAAUGGACAUGACACACUGAGGCAGCUGGUACUGCUUUGGCUCUAAAUGUUAUAAUAAUACUCUGCCACUUUGUUGACGAGUGACAAUACAACCUCUCGUUCCUCAGACUGUUCUUUUCACGUAACAGCUUCAAACCAAAUCCUGAAAUACUGAACCAACAUGAACCACCUCUGCUAUCAAGUAGUCAGCACUGUGAAGGGCUGUACAGUUCCUUACCUCACUAAAUAAUAAUACUUUCUGAUCCAAUCUGUCUCUGUCUGUCUGUCUGCUGCCAUGGCUUGACCUGCUCUUCUUUCAUCUGUAGCUUCCAUUCUGUCUGCCGUCUCCCUGCAUCCUCUUGUCCACCACACCAUCCUCCCUUGUGUGUUUGCUGCCACUGUCUAUCUAGAAAAAAAUGUUUUCUGCCAAACCUUGAACUAGUACAACAUGAACCACCUGUGGUCUAAUCUUUCUCCAGCAUUUCUUCUGUCCACUGUCACUGUCUGAACCAGUCACCUAACACACCAUCCUUCCUGCCACGGUCAUCCCUCUCUGAUGCUCUUCUCUUUCUCCCUCUCUCAGCGUGGUGGCAGCACGGGCCUCGGCACUCCCUGGCACCACGGCAGGUGUCAGUGAGGCAGGCAGGUGUUGGUUCAAGUCCUGGCAGUGUCACUUCGCUGCUGUAUUGUUUGGUGCAGCGGAUGAUGCUACGUUUUUCAUCACUUAGUGUAGAGUCUAUUUUUGCUUGACGUUAUUUGUGUUGGUAAGGCAUUUCCACUAUAUAGUGGUAGAUAUUCUGGGAAAUAAGGAAUUAGCAAUACUAAGACAUGCUUGAACAACACUCACCAGUGUGGAAGACUUGUCAGGCAGUGGCUGUAGUGGCUUCACUUGAACCACGACCAUGUUCUCCUCAACCCUUGGAAAGAGAACAAUUCAUCUGAAAUGGAGAUACAAAGAUAUUGGGGAAAAUUUAAGAGAGAGACGCUGCAAAGUGUAGCUGACAGUGUGCGUGUCGUCAUCAAGAGGAGGGGCUCUAAAAUGAAACAGUAGGACACUCGUGAAGACAUUCAUACUAUCUUUUCUCAAGGGAAGUGUGUGUCGUGUGUGUUAACAACGUCAGGCGCGGACAUUUUUUGCAUCAAGGGUGAUGUACGAUCCGGACAUGAAAAAAGUUUUUUUUCUUUUAUAAUUUUCUAAUUUUUUUCCGCUUCUUUUGAUAUAUGUAACGUUUUGAUAAGAACUAAAAAAAAUCCCCUUAUGUAAAGAGGUCUUCUGUUAUGAAAUUCCCACGGUUUCGCCCGCUGCGAGACAUGUCACACUAGUUUUUUUUACAUUUUUUUUUCUCUUUUCAUAUAUUUUUCUGACAUACCCGUUCUUCUUCACUCUCCCAUGAAUAUCUACGGUUCUCUUGCUGCAUACAAUAUUAGAAAGCACGAAAUUCUAGGUCUAACUAUUUUCUCAAAUUGAUAUACGAAAAAAAAAUCAUAUAAUUAUUUUUUUUUUCGUAAAUCUAGCAAAUAGUUAAUGUAUCUGCAUUAGAUAUCUUUUGCAUUAAUAUUUUAUUUAUUUUCAAACAAUUAAACACUGGUUUUUACUUAGAAAUAUGGCGAAAUAUAACAAAAAUUGUUUUCACCCGCCUUCUCCCCUCCCACCCGGUAAUUAAGGGUGAAAUCAUGAAUAGCUUUAGGCCUUAUACACAAAACCAAUCGGAGUAACUAAAACUAUGUCUGCUUUUUCAACAUAUUCUGAUGUAUAUAUCGCGUGAAUUUCAAGUCCCUGGCUGCAAUAGGUGAAUUAGUCACCCCUUAAACUUUAUGACAUAAUAUCUCAAAAUGGCGGAUUUUAGCAUAUAAAAAUGAUCUGCUCCGUUUUUAUUGGUGUUACAGACAGAUGGGCUGUUGCGGCUUAUCAAACUGUGAUAGGCGAAUAAAGUCUGCUGUCGUCAUUUUUGUUUGGAGUUGAUUUUGAUUUUUGACAAAUAUUUCAGUUUUUUUUUUUACUUUUCAUCGAAAAAAAAUCGUACAAUAAAAGAAAAAAGAUAGCAGACUUUGUUCUCCUAUCCUUCCUGAUCAAAAUACUUUUUAAAUAAAUGAGGGAGGAGAUACGAGUUGAACACAGGCAAUUUAACAAGGGAUUAGCGAUCCUUCAACCACCCUCAAGUGUAUGAAUAAAGGUGAUUAGUUACUUUGAUGUGGAAAGACUGUAAUUUGUAAAGAUGAGAAUAAAUGAGAAUAAAUUAUU